GAUGAACGCUGGCGGCGUGCCUAAUACAUGCAAGUCGAACGCACAGACAAGGAUCUUUCUCCUUUGCCGUUGACGGCCGACGGGGGGGUAACACCUGGGACACCUACCUUUAAGACUGGGAUUACUUCGUGAAACCAGAUCCAAUUACGGAUUAUAUCUUAAUCUCCCUUGAUCCAUAGUUAAAGACCGUUUUGCCGUCACUUAGAGAUGGAUCCGCGCCGCAUUAGCUAGUUGGUAAGGUAAAGGCUUACCAAGGCAACGAUGCAUAGCCGAGCUGAGAGGGUGAUCGGCCACACUGGAACUGAGACACGGUCCAGACUCCUACGGGAGGCAGCAGUAGGGAAUCUUCCGCAAUGGGCGAAAGCCUGAUGGAGCAACGCCGCGUGAGUGAUGAAGGUCUUCGGAUCGUAAAACACUGUUAUAAGGGAAGAACAACUGUGAAAGGAAAUAAGCACGGUUUGACGGUACCUAAUCAGAAAGCGACGGCUAACUACGUG
rnacentral:rRNA from 1 species